rnacentral:rRNA from 1 species
GAUGAACGCUGGCGGCGUGCCUAAUACAUGCAAGUCGAGCGAACAGACGAGGAGCUUGCUCCUCUGACGUUAGCGGCGGACGGGUGAGUAACACGUGGAUAACCUACCUAUAAGACUGGGAUAACUUCGGGAAACCGGAGCUAAUACCGGAUAAUAUAUUGAACCGCAUGGUUCAAUAGUGAAAGACGGUUUUGCUGUCACUUAUAGAUGGAUCCGCGCCGCAUUAGCUAGUUGGUAAGGUAACGGCUUACCAAGGCAGCGAUGCGUAGCCGACCUGAGAGGGUGAUCGGCCACACUGGAACUGAGACACGGUCCAGACUCCUACGGGAGGCAGCAGUAGGGAAUCUUCCGCAAUGGGCGAUAGCCUGACGGAGCAACGCCGCGUGAGUGAUGAAGGUCUUCGGAUCGUAAAACUCUGUUAUUAGGGAAGAACAAAUGUGUAAGUAACUAUGCACGUCUUGACGGUACCUAAUCAGAAAGCCACGGCUAACUACGUG